rnacentral:rRNA from 1 species
CCUGCGGGUGGCUGCAGUGGGGAAUAUUGGACAAUGGGCGAAAGCCUGAUCCAGCCAUGCCGCGUGUGUGAAGAAGGCCUUCGGGUUGUAAAGCACUUUCAGUGGGGAAGAAAGCCUUGGGGCUAAUACCCUCGAGGAAGGACAUCACCCACAGAAGAAGCACCGGCUAACUCCGUGCCAGCAGCCGCGGUAAUACGGAGGGUGCGAGCGUUAAUCGGAAUUACUGGGCGUAAAGCGCGCGUAGGCGGUCUGAUAAGCCGGUUGUGAAAGCCCCGGGCUCAACCUGGGAACGGCAUCCGGAACUGUCAGGCUAGAGUGCAGGAGAGGAAGGUAGAAUUCCCGGUGUAGCGGUGAAAUGCGUAGAGAUCGGGAGGAAUACCAGUGGCGAAGGCGGCCUUCUGGACUGACACUGACGCUGAGGUGCGAAAGCGUGGGUAGCAAACAGGAUUAGAUACCCUAGUAGUC